rnacentral:rRNA from 1 species
GAUGAACGCUGGCGGCGUGCCUAAUACAUGCAAGUCGAGCGAACAGACGAGGAGCUUGCUCCUCUGACGUUAGCGGCGGACGGGUGAGUAACACGUGGAUAACCUACCUAUAAGACUAGGAUAACUUCGGGAAACCGGAGCUAGUACCGGAUAAUAUAUUGAACCGCAUGGUUCAAUAGUGAAAGACGGUUUUGCUGUCACUUAUAGAUGGAUCCGCGCCGCAUUAGCUAGUUGGUAAGGUAACGGCUUACCAAGGCAACGAUGCGUAGCCGACCUGAGAGGGUGAUCGGCCACACUGGAACUGAGACACGGUCCAGACUCCUACGGGAGGCAGCAGUAGGGAAUCUUCCGCAAUGGGCGAAAGCUUGACGGAGCAACGCCGCGUGAGUGAUGAAGGUCUUCGGAUCGUAAAACUCUGUUAUUAGGGAAGAACAAAUGUGUAAGUAACUAUGCACGUCUUGACGGUACCUAAUCAGAAAGCCACGGCUAACUACGUG